CUUCUUCCCUCUCUCGUUUUUCAGUUUCCUCUCAGAGAAGAGAAGAUGCCAAACUUUUAGUUUUGAUUUCCUUUCCAUCAUCAUCAUCUGUAUAAGACUUCAGUAUCCAUUUACGUAAAUGGAUCUGCUCUAAAGAACUGUUUUUCUUUUGUAUCAACAAAGAGUUGGAAGUAGAGAACGGAGAUUUGAGGUCAUCUGUCAGUGAUAAUUCUUCAGUUGCUACUGAAAAUCGAGAAUCCCGGCGCCAAUUUCCUUCUAGUCGGAGUCUGAUCGUGAAUUUUCUACUCUAUUAG